UUGGGAUGGGCUGGCCUGGGAGGUGGUGGAGUCGCCGUCCCUGGACGUGUUUAAGGAAAGGCGGGACGUGGCACUCGAUGCCGUGGGUUUGUUUACAUGGUGGUGCUCGGUCACGGGUUGGACGCGAUGACCUCAGAGCGAUUUUCCAAACCGAUCGAUUCUGUGGCUCGGUGGCUCACGCAGGCAUUUCUAAAUCAGCUAAAAUGGUUUUAAAGAAGAAGAAGGAAGUUCAGGUGGAUGCAUUCUUUCUUGAUCAUCAUCAGCUUGAAAAACUUCAGAGGUUUUCAAAGGCUGAAGAGCAAAAUCUGGCAUCUCUGCUUGUGCACUGUGCAGAGCUGAGAAAUGGCAUCCAGCAGAUCCACUGUAUUAAACAGAUUAUGCCAUUGGUGAAGCAGAUGGAUCAGAACUCUGCAGGUGAUCCCAUGGUUAAAGCUUGUUUGGAUGUUUUGGGAGAGACGUAUUUUUCACUGGGUGCAAAGAAUCCUUUGAAGAAAGUAUUAGCAAGUUCACUGAACAGUCUUCCUGGACAUUUGAUGGUGCCAGCUGUGCAAAGCUUUGUGUGCUGCCUUCGAGAAGAGCUGAAAACCACAGAUGUGUAUUUGUACAGAAAAGUGCUGGACAACCUUGCUUCCUGUAUGGAGGACUUCAGCUUAGGUAGAGCCUGUAUUAAGAACCUAUUUGAAGAAGUUCUUCAGUUUCUGCGAAAGUUGCUGCUUGACAUACAGGAAGAAAACAGGAGGAAUAAUGGAAAUCGUAUUGUUCAGACUCAGCUGAUGCACGAUUUACUGAUAGCCAUUAAAGUUUCAAUGAUGCUUGUACAGAAAUUGCAAGAAAAUAUCCAGGGAAGUCUUUGGAAACACAGUGAAUCUUUUGUUUGGCAAAGUAUGUGUAGUUUACUGAAAAGUUGCACAAACUUCCUAAUGGAUGCAACGCUCCUGCAGACUGUUCAGACUACCUCAGGACUGGCUGUUAUUCUCUUCACCAGGGCUAUGUAUGAGCCAGUUGAGGAGUUACCUUCAUUGAUCAGUGGCUUGCUCCUGGGGACAGUGGAACACUCAGGUGUGCCAGCGUGGUUCGUGAGGAGCUGUGGGGUUCUGUGCACGGCAGAACUCCCGGACUCGGUCCUGCUCUUCCUUUGCCACGGAGCACUUGCUAUGCUGGAUUGGAAAAAUGGCAGCAUGGGUGAAAAUGGAGAGAAACUAUUAUUAAAUAUUGCAUCAGUCUUGUUGUCAUUGAGUUCAGAGUUAAAAGAAUCCAGUGUGGCAACAUCUUUGUCUAGAAUCCUUGCUAUUUGGACUAAUUCAGCACUGGCUGCCCUUGUUUCAGGCUCUCCAGAUCUAAAAAUCAAACUUAAUGGGAACUCUGAUAUAAUUGGGAAGCUGCUGGAAUACAUUUAUACACACUGGGACCACCCUCUGGAUGCCAUCAGACACCAAACCAAAUUGAUUUUCAAGAAUCUUCUUCAGAUACACCAAACCACCAUUGUUGGAUCUAAUGAAAAAUCAGACCCAUUCUUUGCAAGGUUGAUAAAGCAUUUACUGAGCUUGGAUUGGCAUGUAAAAGGGAAAUAUGCUUCUCUUGGCUCUCUGGUGGAAUGUGUGGGCACUGAAAAUAUACUGCAGUUGGACAGAACAAUUCCAGUGCAGAUCCUGGAUGUGAUGAGUGAUCAGUCUCUUGCACCUUAUGCUAGUGAUCUUCUGGAAACCAUGUUUACAAAUCACAAGGCCCAUUUUACUUCGAGUUUUCAGGAAGGCACCUGGAUUGACGAGUGGCACAACAUCUGGGUUUCUCCUCUUCUGGUAAUACUGUGUGAAGGGAACCAUGACCAAACUACUUAUAUAAUAGAUUACUAUUUACCAAAAUUGCUCAAAUGUAACCCUGACAGUCUGAGCUACAUGAUAAGAAUUCUUCAGGCCUCUGCAGAUGCUAAUCUGGGCUCUUGCAGUACCAGAGGAGCUCUUGGAGCAUUAAUGGCAUGCUUGAGAACAGCCAGGGCCCAUGGACAUCUGGAACUUCCAAAUAUCAUGAGCGGUGGUCUUGUAUCCACUGAGUGUAUAAAACAGGGUCUAGUUCAUCAGCACAGCCAGGUUUGCAUUGAUGCUUUAGGUUUACUCUGUGAAACCCAUCGUACUACAGAAAUAGUGUCUCUGGAAGAAAUGCAACUAAUUGAAUUUUUUAUGAUGUACAACUUGAACAACCAAUCUCCUUCUGUAAGGCAACAGAUCGUUUCUCUGCUGAGAAAGUUAUUUUGCAGGAUACAAGAAAGUUCUCAAGUGCUUUAUAAAUUGGCGCAAAAUAAAACCAAGCAAGAGUUAGUUGAGAAGUCAAGUGAAAUGCCUCCUUUGAGGAUUUUGCAGCAAUACAAAGAUUUCAUGUCAUCUGUAUGUGCCAGACUUUUUGAAGUAUUGUUUCCUGGUUCAUCACACCCAACCAGGUUUUGUGCACUAAGUAUUUUGGAAUCAAUAGCAGAAAUAUUUUCUGUUCCAAAAGGCCUGGCACAAGUUUUCCAGUUGGAUCAGGAGAUUGAUUCUGCUCGUGUCCAAACACUGAUCCAGUGUUUUGCCAGUACUUUUGAGGAAGUAAAAAUUCUGGCAUUUAGACUUCUGAUGAAACUACGUGAUGUUGCACUGAAUUUACAGGGUUCUGAAAAUCUAGAUCUUCUAUUCCAAGCAGCAAUUGAUCUUAGCACAAGCACCAAGCCCUACGAUUGUGUCACUGCUUCAUAUUUGUUGAACUUUUUGGUAUAUCACAAAGGACUGCAGCACAUUUGUUUAGGAAAAUGGCUUGAGCAUAACCCCCAGCUGGAUGAAAACACAUCAGUGAGUACAGUGGAGAAGAACACUUUGGCAGUUAUCAAGCUUUUGUUGGUGAAUGUUGAAGAAGAAAUAUUCCAAGCCAAGAAGUCUCUGCUUCAAGCAGCAGCAGCAUUCCCCAUGUAUGGGAGAGUGCACUGUAUAACUGGGGCUUUGCAGCAAUUACCCUUCAAUAAUUUGACACUGGUGUCUGAGUGGAAGGAAAUAGUGACCAGGCUCAUUUUGAUGUCAUACAGCCUCUCUGCUGUGGUAUCACCAGUAGUACAGAGCUCAUCACCAGAGGGUCUUAUUCCAAUGGACAGUGAUCCAGAAAGUGCAGAUCGCCUGCAGAUGAUUCUGCAGGAGAUACAACCACAGGACACAAAUGAUUAUUUUAUGCAAGCAAAAAUUAUGAGAGAACCCUGCAAAGAAGAAUCUGAAAAGCUGGCUGACCAGCGUCCAACGAAAAAUACUUGCAUGGAAAUGAGAGGCAAAGACAGGCAAGUGUGCGACGUCACAGCUCAAAUGGUUCUUGUAUGUUGCUGGAGAAGCAUGAAGGAAGUAUCUCUGCUUUUAGGGACACUGUGUAAACUUUUGCCUUCACAGACUACAUCUGAACCUUCAGAGGGGUUGAUUACUGUAGAACAGGUUAAAGAUAUUGGUGAUUACUUUAAGCAUCAUCUGCUGCAAUCAAGGCACAGGGGUGCAUUUGAAUUGGCAUAUGCUGGCUUUGUGCAACUUACAGAAAUGCUUUCCAGAUGUAACAGUGAGAGUCUGCACAAGAUGCCAGAGCACUGGCUAAGCUGUGUGUUAAAAGAAAUCAAAUCUUGUGAUCCUUCAUCCACACUGUGUGCAACCCGACGGAGUGCAGGAAUUCCGUUCUACAUACAGGCUUUGUUGGCAUCAGAACCAAAGAAGGGCAAAACAGAUUUGCUGAAAAUGGCAAUGAAAGAAUUGAUAUUUCUGGCUGCACCUUUGAAUGAAUCUUUAAGUGUAAUUCCACAGGUUCACGCUUUAAAUAUCCUCCGGGCACUGUAUAGGGAUACACGUUUAGGUGAAAACAUCAUUCCUUAUGUUGCAGAUGGAAUAAAAGCAUCAAUUCUAGGGUUUAUGUCACCUGUCUGGGCAGUACGAAAUUCAUCUACACUUCUUUUUAGUGCUCUGAUUACAAGAAUUUUUGGAGUUAAAAGAGGGAAAGAUGAAAAUUCAAAAAAAAAUAGAAUGACGGGAAGGGAGUUUUUCUCUCGGUUUCCAAGCCUCUAUCCUUUCCUUCUCAAGCAGUUAGAGGUUGUAACCAGCACUUUGAACAGUGAAACUGAAGAGUUGAAAAUUCAUCCAAGCCUGUUUCUUUUGCUCUUAAUCCUGGGAAGACUGUAUCCAUCUCCAAUGGAUGGCUCUCACUCAGCUCUCAGCACAGCACCAUUUGUCCCCUUUAUUAUAAGGUGUGGGCACAGCCCCGUGUACCGCUGCCGGGAGAUGUCGGGCCGGGCCCUCGUUCCCUUCGUUAUGGCCAAUGAAGUUCUGCACACGGUGCUGGCCCUGCUGCGGGGGCUCCCGGACUCUGCUGCUCAUGGCGUGCGACAGAACAGUGUUCAUGGAACCCUACUGCAAGUUUUUCACUUGCUGCAGUCGUACCUAGAAUCAAACCAGUUUGCUAGUUUGGACUUCCAGCAGGGACUGCAUGACAUCACUACCUGUGUGGGAACCAAGCUGUGGCUGGCUAAAAGGCUAAAUCCUUGUUUGGUGACCAGAGCUGCCUAUCUUGAUGUCCUUGUGAUGUUGAGUACUCACCUGGGGAAGUUUCAAAAGCAAGGAAUGCAAUUCCUUGACUUUUGGGAAGAGAUGAAAAGAGUAAUUUCAGAUUCUGAGUUGAUGUCUGGUGUUCCCUACUCAACUGCAGUACCAGGACUGAUACAGUAUCUCCAGAGCAUCACCAAACUUGUAAUAUCAGUGCUGUCAGUGACUGCAGGUCCUGACAUCCCGAGCUGUGGUUCAGCUGCUGCAAAGGAAAUGGCCAAGCCCUCACUGUCAGUGGCUCAUCUUCUGCACUGUGAGUUCCAUGAAGUGCGUCUGCUGGCAUUGGAAGCAAUACUGCUGUGCCUGAAACAAAGAAAUUCCAAGCACAUUGCAGAAGGAAGAGCAGGUGUAUUAUGUUUACCCACUGAUUUGGAAGACACUCUUCUCACAAUGGCUCUGAAGGAAACAAAUCCCCAGUGUUUUUGCAAGGUGCUGGAAAUUCUUUAUAAUAUGGAUCUCAGAAAGGUGCUUCCAAAGACUGAAUGCUCGAUAAAAAUGAAUCCAAAUGAGCUCUUAACCUGGAGUUUAAACCUUGCAGGUAUCUCCAGCAGCCCUGAAGGUCAAACCAUAGCUCUCAAAUUUGCCUCCAAAUUGAUUAUUCACCUUUUGCAGAACCAUCAGCAGAUUUCAGAAGAAGUCUUGGAAAAAUGGGUUCAGCUGAUAAUGUAUUUUUGUGGAGAUGAGCAAGAGACAGAGAUGCUGUUAGCAGCUGCUGAAGUUCUUAAAAGUAUAACAUCAUUCCUUCUGAGCAGUGACAAGCUCAUUCUUGGACUGUCUGAUACCCUCGGUCUGUGGAAAUGUGUGAUUCUACUGCUGCAGAAUGAAGACUUGGUAGUAAGGGAUGCUGCUGCUGAAGUCAUACAAGUGGCACAGUCAAAAAAAAAGAGCAAUGAAGGAGAGAGCCCUUCCAUUCAGCACACUGAGGAGAGCACUCAGCACUUAGUUCCUUCUCAAGUGGAAGAGGCACAAACCAAUUCCUCAAAGAACUUUGAAGGAAAUGGAAAAGACAAAUGUAAAAUCUGUAUUAGACAAAUAUAUUGGAUUUUCUGUUGAAGAACUCUGGUUACUGACUGAAUACUACUUAUCAGUCAAAGAAUUUGUGUAUAUAUUUGGACUUCAUGCAAAACUAAGCAGCUCCUGCUCCUUACGUAAAUUUACUUGAAGUAACUCAUACAGACCAUGUUACAAUUUACUAAUGCACCUGAGCAUGCCAAGGCCUCUGGAAUGCCAUGUCUACUGAAGAUGCAGAUGAAGUUGCAGGGAGCCACCCCACCAAUAUCUGAGAUGGAGAUACACUAUCCAAGUCCCUUGGAGCUUGCUAGAGGAUGCCCUGAUGACAGCUAGAAGUUUCCUAGCAAAUCUUGAGAUAGCUGUUAACACAUUCAGACUACAGCUGUAUGGAAAUGCCAGAGCCUGAGGUAUUUCAAUCAGAGAGAUACAAGUAAGUCAUGCGACUUCCAGAGAGGUGAAGACCUGCCCACGUAAAUAGAAGUGUCCUGGGUCACUGAAGGUGCAAAAUCCAGAAGUCACCUUGGUGGCAAGAACUAUGUGAAGGAAAAAGGGUGUGAACCACUCCUUAGGAUUUCUUUAAUGUGAACAUCAUGUUGGGAAGAAACAUAGAGUCAUGAUUCUAGAAAUGCCUCAGUCACAACAGGAUGGUUAGGAUCAGCAGGUCUUUAAUGUGAAUCAAAACUUGUGGUAGAAGAGUGAGGAAUAUGUGUGUGUAAUCUCAUUUCAGAGUAUUUCUGAAAGAAAGGGCAAAAACCAAUUUGCUCUCAAAAGAAAUCACUGGUGCAUCAUCUUCCCAUUGAAAAGAGCCAGUGGUUUUCUCAUGGAAUGAAAAUGCUCUUGAAAAAAAUCUUUGGAGUUAGAUAUUUUCCAUUCAGGAUUGAGACUUGGGGCUGCUUAUGUGUUAUGCACCUGCAGGGGAACUGCCCCUAAGUUCUCCUUAGAUCACUGCCACUAAGUGACCUGUAAUCAUUGAGUUGUUGAAUAGGAUAAACAGCACCUGCCUGUCUGUAUGACUGCAGCUCAGUAGCCUGGCUGACUUUUUUUGUUGGAACGUCAGAAAACUUACAAUGGAUCCCACUAUACUGCAUUGAAAACAAUUUGCAAAUAGGCAUUGGAAGGUGUUUUGAUCUUGACAGAAAAAAAAAAAUGCUCUUGGUCAUUUGUACUUAGCACCUGCAGUGUGAAUGUUUUGUGGUCCUGGUAGCUUCUCACAUUUCUGAGCAUUUGCAAAUUUAGUUGUAUUUUCAUAGCAUUGUGUAUAUGUGUCCAUGUAUCAGCAAAAAUAUAAAAAUAAUGUGAGCUGUUCUUUCACACAUUUCAUCCCUUAGAUGACAUCUCAAUAAGAACAGACAAUCUGGACUGUAUUGGAAGCUUUUCAUGUAAGAGUAGCUGGUUUUUUUUUUCAACAAGCAUUCAUAUGUUUCUGUGGCCUUUUGCUCUUUUAAGUGCAUUCUCUUACAUGGUGAAGAAAAGGGUUUAGAAAAUUGGCCAGUAAAGAAGCUGAGACUCUAUUAUGAAUAUUUUUUACAUUAUUAUACAAAAGAUUUAUGGUACUUUCUGUAAGAGCAAUUUUAUGGCCACUUCUUUUCAAAUGUCACCCUCUUUUAACAAGUAAUAUGAAACAAAGAUAGAAAUUAAAUAUAAACCCUCCUAAAGCAGUGUCCCCCCAUAGCAUUUUAUAGGAGGUAUCAGAAGUGAUGCAAAGACUGAGUUAUGGAGGUUUCUGAGUUGGUGUUUUUUUGCUAUUCUGCUCAAAAAUACCUUCCUUCAGUGAGUCACACAUACACUUGAAGCAGAUGUGUUGUAGUAAGUUAGCAAGUGUUUCUCUGCUCACAUGUGCGCAAUAGCCACAGUUUGCAGGAAUCUGCAAAUCUGACUUUUUCCAUCCUUUAGAGAGAACUGCUGGGAGAAGGGUGGGAAAUACCAGUGUAAACUAACAUUUAGGAGAAAGUGUAGAACAAGAUCAAAACAUGUUGUAACCUAAGAGACCUUGAAAAUCAGAACAUUUUUCAGUAAUGUAAAAUUACUCUAAAUUCCAGUAAUUCAAAAAUGCAGAGUUUCCCUUAGCAGUUGUCAUCAGCCAAGUCAAACUUGCAUCUAGAAUGAGAGUUAUAAUGCCAAAAAAGUUUAGUGUUGUAUCAGUACUCAUGUAGAAAUAAAUAGCAUUUUUAUGCUUGUUUUUGUGUUUUGCAAAAAAUUCACCAAGAUACACUUAAUAAUUCACAUGAAUUGGCUUAAUUAAAGAAGGAGGAGGGAGAACUUUUGCAUUGAGACUUAUAGUUGUCUUAGCAAGAUUUACUGGUGUGUCUGGAGCUCAUUAAAAUCAGUGGGUUUUGCAGGGGGGACUUGAUAUUACAUCUUUUUGAAGAAUUAUAUUAUAAAGAAAAUGUGUAAGUACUGUGAUUUUUUACUUUGUAUUCCCAAAUUUAUGUCAACACCUUAAAAGUUGUUGUCAGCCCACUUAUACAACAUGAGAUCAUCACAUGGAUGAAGGAACUGUUUGCUUUCUAGAAUACAAUGCCACUAAUUAAAGUUGAAAGUGAAUGGACUGAAUUAGAAUCAGCUCAUCCAUCAAAGACUGGCUACUGAUUAUUUACUGACAGUGCUUCAUUUAGCUCUAUUAAUUACUCAGUGGCACUGUUAUGUAAAGGUCAUGCUUGAAAAAUUAGGAAAGUACAUGAAAAAUUAUUUUAUGCGCUCAGUGCUGGAGUCUGGAAGUGGUAAAUGUUAAACAGAGUGUUCAUGUGAAUAAUCUAUUAAAUGUGCUUUUUCUUAUCAGCGUUUUAAUUGUGAGUGAGUAAACAGGACAGCAGCUUACAGAUCUUGAUAGGCUCCUCGUCCAGGCUCUGAUGGUCAUGGCUGUGGCUCCAUAGCAAUAAAGGAAAGUUUGCCUUUCUAUUACUGCUUUUAAAAUAGUUUGCUUUUUAAAAUUUUUUUGUUCAGCCCAAAUUAUAUGAAUAAUUAUAAUAAUUAUAAGAUUUUUUUUUUAGUUUUUUGUACUCAUUACCCUUUCUUUCCUUAUUCCUUUAUCCUUUAAAUUAUAAGCCUCUUACCAUCAUUCCCCAGAUGUCACUCUAAAAUUCCAUCUAUGAUACAGAAGUAAAUGUGUCUCCUGUGUUCCUACAGCAGAGCUGUAACAUACAGCUCUUUCAUAUUCAGUAAUCUUCAUCAGUGCUAAGCAAAAACUUCUGUGUAGUUGGUACAGGCAGUAACAGGAGUCUUCAGUUCUACAUUUAAUUCUAGUCAUUGAUACUAGUUUGGAAGCCAUAUAUUACUUUCAUUUUUUCUAGUAAGUACAUAAUUUGAGUUUAAAAAACCAUAUGUUCUCAUUGGCAGUGUUUUAAAAAUUAGCUGAAUAAUAUUUUUACCUUACAAAAAGGAAAAGCAUGAGUUCUGUGGGUUUAGGCAGGGGAUACUGUCUUUUUGCUGUUUAAAUUAGAAAACAGCUCAGAGUGAGGGAGGCUUUGCAAAAGUGGCAAUAUAAGAGGUAAAGUCCAAAUGCUCAUUUCCUCCGACAGAUCUGUGAGCCGGGGUUGUUUUGUAAUAAAACCCUUCGUGUACAGGAGCAUGGCUUAUAUGGGAAAGUCUUAUGUAUACAUGCAUAUAUAUUUAAAAAGGAAAAAUAACAUAGUUACUGAGCUGAAAAAUACUGCUCAGUUCACAUUCCAAAAAAGGGCUUGAAAAGAUGAUGAAUAUGUGUGUGCUCUUUUGCACAAGAAGGGACUUCAAUUUUCUGUUGAGUCCUGAGCUGUAAGUUUCCAUGCUAAUCAGACAUGUUAUUAACUCAGAUCUGUUUAUAAUCAAAGUCAAAGCUGAGAGCAGCAUCACCGCCACUCUAUUCAGGGGACUGCAACUAUUAAGAAAUUAGUUUUGAUUAGUUUGUUUUGUAAUGGUGUUGUGUUUUGACAUCGUGUUGUGUGAUGUCAGGAAGGGCCUCUUUUUAAAGCCAUCCUGAAAAAGCACGGCUAUAAAACAGACUCAGGCAGGGAAAUGGAAAACAUAUGAAGCAGUUGUACGUCAUCUAGGGAAUGGUAUUUCUCGAGAGGAUAGAAAUGAUCUAAUUGCCUUUGAUUUUAUGAAACACUAUGAAAAGGAAUCUGCUUAUAUAUUAGAUUUUACAUAAACAGUCAUUUUAAAAAGUGGAAAGUUUGAUGUUUGUAACUUAAAUUGACACAGAGGAAUUGCAAGAGCCAUCUGCCAACCAUCCAGAUGCAACAGUUACCAUUUCUGCAUUUUCUUUCUUUUUAUUUUUGGUUGGUUAGUUUUUUGGGAUUUUUUCCCUUUUGUUUUGCUUCUCACUGUCUUCUUUUAAUCCUAGUGCCCAGAAGGGUGAUAUUGUGGAGACUGGGUGGGUAUGAACACCCCUUUACUCACUUUUAUUCUGCCCUGCUGUUUUUUUGGUGGCAGCAUUGCAUGUCCAGUAACACCUAUGCAUUGUCUUGCUGUGGAGUUGCACAAUACCUGCCUACCUCAAAGUAGAACGUAUUUCAACAUAGGAAAGGCAUUUUCUACCCUCACUUUUUACCAGCUAUUUUAACUCCUGGGUCGGGCCAAUAGGAUUUUUUUCUUUCUUAAAUUUGAAGGCUUUUUAAAUUUUAUGACGUCUAGGCAUACAUAAACACAUCAUUUUAAGUAAAAAAUAUAUCUGCAGCACUGCCUCACUCAGCUCUCUUAUAUUUCAUAUGCUGAGAAUAGAAUAAGCUUGAUUAUUACUGAACACCAAAAGGAAGACAAUCUUUAUACAACAAAGAAGUGAUUAGUGAUUAGGUGAAAUUUUCCAUUUACAAAUCUAAUAUUACAGGUAUUAGUGACUGUGAUGCUGAAUCUGCCAUCAUUUGGAUGAGAACCUGAUAUCUUGCUUGAUACUCAUCAUGUUUUACACGGAUGUAUCAGAAAACAUGAGAUUAAUCCCCAGUUUUGCCAAGCAAUCAUUCAAUGAUCUUUGUUGCUUUAAAAGGUCCAUGCUUUUGUCAACUUCCCUCUGAUGUAAGAAUACUACCUCAUUUUACCAGGGUGUUAUGAGGUACCAUAUUGAUAGUGAUGUACUAAUAUUUAUAACUUUAUGGGCAGCACUUCGUGCAAGAAAGUAAAAAAAAUAUUUUACCAAUUCAGAUGGUGAUGGUCUACCCAAAAUACUUUCUGUAAUUUCAGGUGAAGAACUUAUCCUGUAUAUUUUCCUUGAAAACAUCACUACUGUUGGUACACUGUUCUUUGUGAGAUUUUAUCUCCGAGCUGUUAUACAAAGCUUCCUUGCAGAUUCACUUCUCUUUCUGUUUGUUUCUGAACACAGUACAUGUUUACAAAAAUUGGAUUUCUCUUUGUUCUAGAAUGAAUUUCAGUUAACAAUUUGCAAUAUAAAAAUUACAAAAUGCUUUGUUAGGCAAGGCAUAUGUUCUGCUUUUCUCCUUUGCCUAUAUUUUAUCCUGGUUGUCCAUAAAAUAGGUGUAUAUACGCUCUUAAUACAUCCUUCAGUUCCCCAUAAUACCACUGAGGCUUUAACAGAGAACAAUUGUACAGUUGGAGGACACAUAAUAGGCUACUACAAGAAAUAUUUACAUCUGGCAUGAUCAAAGCUUUUGGACUAUAUGAAUGUGCAUGUGGGAGGUCUAAUUUUUAUGUGGGCGGAUUCACUAAGACCAAAACACUGCAGUACUUAACCCCUUUCCCUUUAUGAAAAUUCAAUUCCUCAAAAUGAAAAAAAGUAGGUAGUACCUGAUUCUUAUCUUUAUUUUUCAUUUUGAUGAGUAGUAUUAACUAUUCUGCUUGUAACUGCUUGUUUUAAGUCAUAGAGAUUUUUUUUGGUAUUUCAACCCCUGCAGUGUCUAUUAUUAAGUAAGAUGCUUAUCUUGCUCAUGAUUUUUUUGCAUGUUGGAACAUAUGCACAUUUUCAAAUUUAAAGAAACUCAUAUUUUUAACACAGUUUUGAUAGUCUGUAAAACUGCUGUGGAAGGAGCUCUGCUGUAUUUUUGGUUUAUAGCACUUCAGGUUUGGUUUUUGCAGGUUUAGUUCUUCUGGCAGUAAUCAGCUGUGAGCCCUGGCUAUUUGAAUUUUUUUUUAUUCAGUUACUUUAAAUAGUUACAGUAUGAAAGGCUAUUAACACUCACUCAUUUAAAUAAUCUCAACAUUUUGUUUGCAAGGCUCUGAUGGGGACAUUUGGGAUGAUGGCUGACCUAGGCUAGCAGCUUGCUGAACAGGGAGGUCUCGCUCUCCCUUUGGCUUCUUUCCUUCCUCCUGCUGUCCUGUGAUCUUCCCUUCCCCAGCCCCCAGCUACACCAAUUUUGACUGCGGGGCAACCAGCUCAGCUUGCCAGCCAAGCAGAAGAGCCCACACGCCAGAGCUGCAUGCCAAAUGCCUUAUGUGCUGUUCUGAGCCUUAAUUUACCAGGUGAUCAGCAGAGUACCUGAGCUGGCUCCCAGGUAAGCAUCAGGGGCCUGGGGGGCUGUGGUGUAAGGGAAGCCACCUGCCCUUUUUGCCCCUGGUGAACUUGCAUCUUGCUCAGAGCACUCUCUGAAGUCACAGCAUGAGUCACAAACACAGCAUCAUGUGUAAUAUGUGGCUUCUUGAAAAUCAGCCCUGCCUUUGCAGGCAGAUGAUGAUGUGAGGAGCGCUUCUUGUAAACAGUGAAGACCGUACAUUUCUUUUGAGAAGGCACACAUCUCUGGUGGGUGUGUUCAAAGAUUCUGUGCAUGCUUACAGCAUCCCUGGCAGUUACUUUUACAGCUGGGGGUCAUCAAAGCAAUAAAACAUUUUCCCCUCUGUGAAAGUGGUUUUUGCCUAUUAAAUCUUGGGCACCUAUGUAACUUUGCUUGCUGUUACCCAUUUGCAUUACUUCAGCACUCCAGGCCUAGAAGAGUUAAUACACUUGUUUUGGAUUUAUGCUGUAUCUCUUUAUUAUCCUUGUAGCAUUGACAGUCUACAAAUCUAAUCCUGAACUAUUGUAGCACCAAAGUUGUGUAAACUGGUAUCAAAGUUAGUUAAUAUCAGGGUGUUCUGUAAGUAACAGCAGCUGAGAGAGCAUUUCAGAAAUCAUGGAGCCAUUCCUGAUACUCUGCAGGAGUGGGAUGAGCGGGUGGAAGUGAAAAUUCUUCAUCUGCCUGACAUUGGUAUGUUGUUGAGUCUCUGUGAACACCUGAAGUACCAAGAUGCUGCUAUACUAGCUUCUCUAACACAAAGCCCUU